rnacentral:rRNA from 1 species
GACAGAGGUGCCAAGCGUUAGGCGGAAUCACUGGGCUUAAAGCGUGUGUAGGCGGGCGGGCAAGUACCUUGUGAAAUCCCACGGCUCAACCGUGGAACGGCUGGGUAUACUGCCUGUCUUGAGCCAGCUAGGGGCGACCGGAACAGACGGUGGAGCGGUGAAAUGCGUAGAUAUCGUCUGGAACGCCCAAAGGUGAAAACAGGUCGCUGGGGCUGAGCUGACGCUGAGACACGAAAGCCAGGGGAGCGAACGGG